rnacentral:rRNA from 1 species
GAUGAACGCUAGCGGCAGGCUUAACACAUGCAAGUCGAGGGGCAGCACGAGGUAGCAAUACUUUGGUGGCGACCGGCGCACGGGUGAGUAUCGCGUAUCCAACCUUCCCAUAUCCACGGGAUAGCCUGCCGAAAGGCAGAUUAAUACCGUAUGUUGUCGCACGCUGGCAUCAAAAUGCGACGAAAGGCUUAGCGGAUAUGGAUGGGGAUGCGUCCGAUUAGCUUGACGGCGGGGUAACGGCCCACCGUGGCGACGAUCGGUAGGGGUUCUGAGAGGAAGGUCCCCCCACAUUGGAACUGAGACACGGUCCAAACUCCU